UACGUAGGCAGCGAGCGUUGUUCGGAAUUACUGGGCGUAAAGAGUGUGUAGGCGGUGCUCUAAGUCUGUCGUGAAAUCUCCCGGCUUAACUGGGAGGCUGCGGCGGAAACUGGUGUGCUAGAGGGUGGGAGAGGUAAGCGGAAUUCCUGGUGUAGCGGUGAAAUGCGUAGAUAUCAGGAGGAACACCUGCGGUGUAGACAGCUUACUGGACCGCUUCUGACGCUGAGACACGAAAGCGUGGGUAGCAAACAGG
rnacentral:rRNA from 1 species